rnacentral:rRNA from 1 species
ACUCCUACGGGAGGCAGCAGUGGGGAAUAUUGCACAAUGGGGGAAACCCUGAUGCAGCCAUGCCGCGUGUGUGAAGAAGGCCUUCGGGUUGUAAAGCACUUUCAGUAGGGAGGAAGGUAGUGUAGUUAACACCUGCACUAUUUUGACGUUAACCUACAGAAGAAGCACCGGCUAACUCCGUGCCAGCAGCCGCGGUAAUACGGAGGGUGCGAGCGUUAAUCGGAAUUACUGGGCGU